AAGCGGGACGCGUGUGACCGUCCCCAAAGUAAGGGCGAAGCGGCGAUCCACAGAGCAUCCGAGAGCCCCCUUGGUUGCUAGCCCCGGGACGUUCCCGGGAGGUCCCCAGACUACAGAGUGCUAACGCAGGGGUGGAGAACACCGGGCAGCUGAAAGGAAGGAUAGAAAGGAUUCUGUCGACGUCGGUGGUGUCCUCCAAUUUCUGCCCCGGCGGGUGUGCCCCAGCCCACAACAUUCUCUGGACCCCUUCUGGGCAGCGCUCAGGACCCCCACUUGUCGGAAAGGGAGGAUGAGGGUCCCCUUAGCCCCACCUCCCGCGCUAUUACACCCCCCCCCCCUCCGGAGCCGAGGGACAGACAGAGAAUUGCAACUAGAAAUUCGAUCUAUUGGUACGAGACACCACGUGCUCGCGGGCUGGCCAAUGACCAGGCCGCCCCGGAUGAGCUAAUAAUGGAAGCAAUUUGUAACUUUCAGUAGCUCUCUAGGCCUAGGUACCGGUGGGAGGGAGGCUGGCGGAGGGGGAGACAGCACCCCCCAGUUUUUUUGCCCAGCCUGUUUGUCUAGGGAAACUCGGAUCCCCGGGCCCUCCUUUUUCUUUACAGCAGUGUUCUUCGUUCCACUCCUGACCGACAGCACAGCCAGGGCCUUCUAUUCCAACACCUCUUCCAGCGACCUGGUCAGGUGUGGCCAAUGGAAGCAAGAGCCCAGUGAAGUCGCCUAAGUCCGAGGGCAUGGUGUAACUCACACGGAGCACAACCCUACUUGGAAUGGACCAUUCGUGGCUUUAGAAUCUUGAUGGACACGAGCAACUGUCGGCACAAUCUAUUUAAGAGUAUUCUGAGCCCUCAGAGAGCAGCCUUCUGCCCACAGGUGACCAAAUCCUUAUCCUCAAUAACCCUUCUAACUGAGCAGCCAACGAGCUGCCCUCUACCUAUUCAGGACAGCCUAGGAAUGGCUUCAUGCAGUAGGUGGCCUUCUGUGAUUGGCUCCUUUUCCUUGGUUCUUAUGCGUUGCUGUGUCAAAGCACGCAUCCAUUCUCCUUCCUUCUCAUGGAUGAGUUACUUCAACGGUAGACAGACCACCUUCCAGGUAUGUGUUCAUCAGUACAUGGGCAUUUAGGUUGUUCCCAUGUCCAGAAAUUAUGAUUUUCUAUGUCUCUAGACAGUUUGAAUCAUCUAGAGUGAGCUCUGCAGCCAGGAACAGGCCUGACUUAUGUGUGGGAACCUCCAGUGUCCAUGGAAGCCAGGCUUUUGCACCUGGUCCAGGUGCUUCUCCCCUGGUUACAUUGCUGAGGAUGGCCAUUGACCCAGCAGCUCUCUAUUUGUCCCCUUGCUGUCCUCAGACCCCUCUCCUGCAGCUUCAGAGUCUGAGUGGAGAAACAGGAAUACUUCCCCAAGAUUGGCCCCAUGUAAUCCUCUAUGUGUGCUACUGGUAAAUGGAAACCUUCGGGCCAAGGGAAAGUCAAGUUCUUGAGGGUGUGUCUGCUUCAGAGUCCAGGUCUCCUUCCCAUGUCCCACCUCACUUCUCUCAGUCUACUCUUUCUUCUGCUGACACCAGAAACUGCCCUACCUGCAUCAAUCCUAACAUACCAGUGGGACCAGCAGGAUGCAUACAAGAAGUCCAAAUAGUGCCAGGUUGCAUUUGUUGAAUGAGUGGAUGAGGGAUGAUUCCAUACUCUGGAAAUAAACUGUGGAGAAGGUCAGUUAUAAAUCUCUAUCUAUUACUACCCCUUUCCUAGUCUGGAAAUCAGCAUUUUCCUCACAAAGGUGGGUGAAGAAAGCACAAAAUGCUACCUCUAUAAUAGCUGCUAUUUAUUGGACCGGCAUUUAUAUGUCUGAUUGGUUUCAUAUCUCUCUCUCUCUCUCUCUCUCUCUCUCUCUCUCUCUCUCCCUCUCUCAGGCAAAGUUUCACAUAGCCCAGGCUGACCUGGAAUUUUCACAAUGUGACCGAGAAUAACCUUGAGCUUUUGAUCCUCCUGUUUCUAAUCCCAAGUGCUGGGAUCACAGGUGUGUGCGGAGACACUUGAUUUACUUGGUGCUGGGAAUAAAACCCAAGGCUUCUUGCACACU
rnacentral:lncRNA from 1 species